rnacentral:rRNA from 2 species
UACGGAGGGUGCAAGCGUUGUUCGGAAUUACUGGGCGUAAAGAGCACGUAGGCGGUCUCUUAAGUCAGAUGUGAAGUAUGCCGGCUCAACUGGGAGGGUGCAUUUGAUACUGGGAGACUAGAGUGCAGGAGAGGAAAGUGGAAUUCCUAGUGUAGCGGUGAAAUGCGUAGAUAUUAGGAGGAACACCAGUGGCGAAGGCGGCUUUCUGGACUGUAACUGACGCUGAGGCGCGAAAGCGUGGGGAGCAAAC